UACUUGUCCCCUUCCAGUCUUGCAUCCGAAACAACAGCAUAUUUCAUCCUAGGAUCUGAGCUGUCUGUUCGUUAGUUUCCAAACUUCUGAGAUGAACUGGCAAUUACUUCUCAUUGUUUGCACAUGCGCAGCUGUUGUUCAUGCCCAGGGAUUGCCGAACCAGCACAAAAUUGAGACUCGAAAUACGAGACUCUGUGGAAGACACCUAGUGGAAGCGCUAGCUGUAGUGUGCCACAGCAUCUACUACACUCCAAGUACCGGCAAGAGAGCUGGUAGCGAUUUAAUUUCCAAUCAUGUGGAACUAGAACCCUGGUGGUACGCUCCCCAAGAAUUCGAACCAAGGCCCGAAGAAGGCUUCUUGGACAGUAGGAAUGCUCUAUCAUUGUUUGGAAAACGUGAUGUUUUCUUCCGGCAGAUGAGGGGAGUAGCUGAUGAAUGUUGUAGGAAGGGCUGCUCAAUCUCAGAAUUGGGGGCCUACUGUGGACCUCAUUCCAAACGGAAAUAAAUGGCGUCAUUAAACCGAAUGGUACAGACUGCCAAUAUUUCAAGGAUGCUUAAUUACCCUUUAACAGUUAACUUGGUUGAAGGCAUU